rnacentral:misc_RNA from 1 species
GAUGAAGAACGUAGCGAAAUGCGAUAAGUAAUGUGAAUUGCAGAACUCAGUGAAUCAUCGAAUCUUUGAACGCACAUUGCGCCCUCUGGUAUUCCGGAGGGCAUGCCUGUCCGAGCGUCAUUGCUGCCCUCAAGCACGGCUUGUGUGUUGGGCUCCGUCCCCCGAUCCCGGGGGACGGGCCCGAAAGGCAGCGGCGGCACCGCGUCCGGUCCUCGAGCGUAUGGGGCUUUGUCACCCGCUCUGUAGGCCCGGCCGGCGCUUGCCGAUCAACCAAAUUUUUAUCCAGGUUGACCUCGGAUCAGGUAGGGAUACCCGCUGAACUUAAGCAUAUCAAUAAGCGGAGGA